AUGUAUGCCAUCAAUAUCAUCCUGGGCGAGAUUCCUUUUCUUAGUUCCAGCUGCAAUCGAUGGAUACAUAACGGCAUUGGAAUCACUACUGUGAGCAAGCCCAAGUAGAUGUCCUAUUUCAUGAACAGCCACGGAUUCCAAGUCAAUUUGGUCCAUUGCGGGGUUAGUACUCCACUUCUCGUCAGCAUCAUAAUGGAAACGGCCAUUUUCUGGACUAAAAGCAUGGGCUAGUAUUUUCCCAGGUCCAUCAAAAGGAUAACCAUCCCCAUGAUCACCGCUGUAGAAUGCAAUAACAAUAUUUGCUGAUGCACCAUCAGAGGCCUCCUGGAAAGUUAAUGGAGAAACAUCUGACCACUUUUUGAAAGCAUCUGAGCAGACAGACCUCAAGGUGU
rnacentral:lncRNA from 1 species